GUUUCCGUAGUGUAGCAGUUAUCACGUCUUCUUCACACGCAGAAGGUCCUCGGUUCGAUCCCGGGCGGGAACA
rnacentral:tRNA from 1 species